CAUAGCCAUGGGUUUACAACCCUUCAAGGACUCUUCAAAUACAUUUAUGUCAGAUGCAUAACCAUAUUCUAUGCUCACACCUGAGUUUGAGUAAGAUAGAUUGAUUUCACUGAUUUUAGGCUUGAAUUUUACGUUCUUCAAAGAAAAAGUUUGCUUCCUUCAUCAACUGUCAUAUAGCAAACAUUGAUACCUUUUGUAGCAUUCUAUGGUGUAUAGUUUUUAUUUUAUCCUAUAUUCUGCAGAAUGUUGAUUUCACUGAUUUUAUGCUUGAAUUUUACGUUCUUCAAAGAAAAAGUUUGCUUCCUUCAUCAACUGUCAUUUUAUAUGGUAGCGGACAUUGAUACCUUUGAUAGCAUUCUGUGUUGUAUAGUUUUUAUUUUAUCUUAUAUUCUGCAAAAUGGGGAUGAUUCUGUAGAUUGAAAACUGGAGAAUGAAACAAUGGCAGCUUUUGUCCAGACUCUACUUCAACAGAUACAACAAAGGUUCCAAACAAUGUCCGACUCCAUCAUUAUGAAGAAUAUCCUUUUCAUCUUAUCUAGUUGUUUCUAUGCGAUGGGAUGAGUUGCAUGAUUAGUUUCUAUAAAGCAUCAGGGAAGUUCUGUUUUGUUAAUUUUGUGGUUGUUUGGUGGAGGUUUUUAAGAAUUUCACUUUUGCAAUAAGCAAAAUGUGAAAGCUUUUUUAUUUGCUUACACCAAGGUUUUAGGCUGUUUUUACAUUGGUAUUAUAUAUACAUAAUUUUUAAAGAAUAUUUAUAAAAAACAAUAUUAUUCAAGUAAAACAAUGAUAAAUUAAACCGUGUAACAUCAAACGAAAUUUAUAUAUUCAUCAUUUUCAGUUGAUUUUCUGUAUUUUUUUAUAUAUAUAAGUAAUUGCAUUGUUAAUAAAUUAAGGUUUAUUUGAUAGAAACAAUAUUUUUGACUUAUGUUAGGUGGUAUUAAUAAUUGCUCUUUAAGAUAGACAUCUAUACUAUUUAUAAAGCCCUUUACUAAGUUGGUAUCACCCAUCAACUAAGUCUCAAUUCAGUUAAAGAAAAAUAUUUUAAUGUCUCUUCACAUUUAAAAUAAAUUAUAUUAUUUGAGGGUACUUUAAUAUUUUAAUAUAUGCAUAUGAUGAGAUUUGAACCCAUACUAAUUAAGUUAGUAAAAUCUUAAAUUUAUCAUUUAACUAAAGUUUUAUUUUAGCAUUUUAUACAUUCUAAUUUUAUUAUGCUUACUUUAUUAAUUUAAAUUUCGUUUCACUUACAAUAGAAUCUAAUUUUUAUUUUAAUAUAGUCCAUAUUUAAUGUGUUAUUAUUAAUUAGUUUAAACACAAAUAUAUAUUUUAAAGACAUGAUUUCCACUUGCAUUAAUAUUCAAUUUAAAAUGAAGUGAAAAGUGUACCUUGGAAUGCAUCAGGUUCUCUUCUUGCGACAUGUGGGCAAGAUAAAACUGUUUGGAUUUGGGAAAUCCUGCCAGGGAAUGAAUUUGAAUGUAUUCAAGUUUUCAAGGUCAUACUCAGGAUGUGAAAAUGGUUUGAUGGUCAGAGGAUGCUGAUGGUGAUUGGGACUGUGUGCAAACUUUAGCUCUUUUAUGUUUUGACUGGUGGCAAAUGGAACAAGAAAAACCAACUACACUAGAUUGCGGUCCAAGAACAGUUUGCAGAAGGCACAUAAUGGUUGGCUCCUACCUCUACAAAUGCAUGAGGGAGGCAUUGCAGCAGCGAAUAAGAAUGAUAUUGAUCAACAUGUAGUUGACACCGUAUAUGCUCUGAAUCUAAAUUCAGGUAUGAGUUUCAGAUAUUUUAUUUGCAAAAAAGUAUUAGAGUGCCUUAUGUUUGUAUGUUAGUUAAGCAGAUUAUAGAUAGAACUUGCAGUAGGAUCAACUAAUUAGUUGAUCAAAAACUACACCUAGUUUUGUAAUAGUCUACUUGCAUAUUUGCAUAUAUUUAAUAA